GGAGUCGGGAAACCGUGGAAACGACGGCUAAUACCGGAUGUGGCGCCCGGUGACAUCGACCGGAGCGCUAAAGGGGGCCGCAAGGCUCUCGCUCCUAGAGGGGCUCGCGCACCAUCAGCUUGUUGGCGGGGUAACGGCCCACCAAGGCCUACGGUUAGCUGGUCUGAGAGGAUGACCAGCCCCACUGGGACUGAGAUACUGCCCAGACUCCUACGGGAGGGCUGCAGUCGAGGAUCAUUUGCAAUGGGCGAAAGCCUGACAAUGCGACGCUGCGUGGAGGACGAAGGCCUUCGGGUUGUAAAACUCCUGUCAUGGGGGAACAGGCGAGGGGACCCAAUACGUCCCUUAGUUGAGUGUACCCCAAGAGGAAUUGGCGGCUAACUCUGUGCCAGCAGCGGC
rnacentral:rRNA from 1 species